ACUACGGGAGGCAGCAGUGGGGAAUAUUGGGCAAUGGGCGCAAGCCUGACCCAGCAACGCCGCGUGAAGGAAGAAGGCUUUCGGGUUGUAAACUUCUUUUCUCAGGGACGAAGCAAGUGACGGUACCUGAGGAAUAAGCCACGGCUAACGACGUGCCAGCAGCCGCGGUAAUACGUAGGUGGCAAGCGUUAUCCGGAUUUACUGGGUGUAAAGGGCGUGUAGGCGGGACUGCAAGUCAGAUGUGAAAACCAUGGGCUCAACUUAUGGCCUGCAUUUGAAACUGUAGUUCUUGAGUACUGGAGAGGCAGACGGAAUUCCUAGUGUAGCGGUGAAAUGCGUAGAUAUUAGGAGGAACACCAGUGGCGAAGGCGGUCUGCUGGACAGCAACUGACGCUGAGGCGCGAAAGCGUGGGUAGCAAACAGGAUUAGAUACCCCUGUAGUC
rnacentral:rRNA from 1 species